rnacentral:rRNA from 1 species
GUCUUAUUGAUUAAUAAUUUAUUUUAAGUCUAACCUGCUCGAUGAUUAAUUUAUUAAAUGGCCGCAGUAUUUUGACUGUGCAAAGGUAGCAUAAUCAUUUGUCUUUUAAUUUGAGACUGGAAUGAACGGUUGGACGAAAUAUUGACUUUCUUUACUUUAUUAUUUAUAUGAAUUUAAUAUUUGAGUUAAAAAGCUUAAAUAUAUAAAUAAGACGAGAAGACCCUAUAGAAUUUUAUAUAAAAAUUUAUAUUAUGUUUUUUGGGAUUUGUUCAUGUAUUUAAUUUUUGUAUUUUGUUGGGGUGACAGGGAAAAUUAUUUAACUUUCUUUUUAUAAAUAUUAAUAAUUAUUAUAUUAACGAUCCUUUAUUAUGGAUAUUAAGAUUAAAUUACCUUAGGGAUAACAGCGUAAUUUUUCUGGAGAGCUCAUAUUGAUAGAAAAGUUUGCGACCUCGAUGUUGGAUUAAAAUAAGUUUUAAGUGCAGAAGCUUAAUUACUAGGUCUGUUCGACCUUUAAUAUUUUACA